GUUGUUGUCGAUUCAGUCUGUGUUUAUUUAGAAAUUUACGACAGUUGUUCACCCUCUGGGCUAACCUGGUUACAUCUGGGCAGACGAUCUUUGUUGUUUGAUAAAUAUGUUAAUUUAUCGCCUGUGUGGGUAUUACUUGCAAUUUAAAUACGCGCAUUUACAGGCUUAAAACAGUCAAACCUACCAAACCCGUAUUUUAUUAUCAUCAAACUAUAAAAGGAUCAGAUUUGAAGUGCUUUAAAACGUUUACAUGGGAAAAUGCUGAAAUUCGCAUAUGGACACAAAAGUCAUUCCAGUGACGUCAGGGUUCCAUCUUAUGGGGAUUUAACCGAGACUUUUCCCCCACGGACCGUGAUGGUAGCAAUGGAUGGAAGCGAGGACUCCAGAUUUGCGUUUCAUUAAAACUGUUCGGAGGGGGGGGGGGGGGGGAAUUGAGUUGCCAAAGGUCGGGGUGGCCCAAGGCAUAUUUGCGGGUACGUGCAGAAUAUCCACAGGCCCGGGGACAGGGUAGUUAUAGUCUUCGCCGUGGAGUUCCAUUCGGAGCACGACUCCAGGUGGCUAUUUUCUUUUACAGAAAGUGUGGAAGAAAAAGUAGGUGGAUCUCUUGACAAAGAAAGAGCAAGACACCUCGAGACAGUAAAAAAAUUCUCAAAACUGUUAGAAAACUCCAAGAUUUUAGGUGAAGUCAACGCCAUCGAUUCCAAAUCCCCGGGAGAGGGUAUAGUACAAGCCGCCAAAGAAAUCCACGCGUCUUUUACUGCUACGGGCACAAGGGGUCUCGGAAAAGUGCGAAGAACUAUUUUAGGCAGUGUCAGUGACUAUAUACUGAGGCACGCUCCAAUGCCCGUAGUUGUCUGUAGAUAUGUGGAGAAGAAAGGUUGUGAAAAGUGAUAUCGUGAUAAAUGACAAUUAACUGUAAACAUUCCUAAAGAAUAGUGUUGUCCUGAGCGGAACUGAUGAAAUGUCUGUAUGUUGAAGAUGUGUCAACUAUUGUACCUCUUACCACUAUGGAGUUCGUUUGAACUUUACCUUUCAAAUUAUUGUUAUGCAUAUGGACAUUGUCAUUUUGUAUGAUAUUAUUGUUUAAUAAAAUUAAGACUGU
rnacentral:misc_RNA from 1 species